GUAUUAUUUUAACAUUGUUAACAUUCAAAGACAGUGGUAUGUAAAAGGGCAGGCGUCGGGGGCUUAUUCAGCGCCCGACGUCUGAGUGGUGCACAGGUGUGUGAGAUGUGUCACUUCCGGCGUGCAGCCCCGAGAGGCGCACAGCCAGUUGCGACGGGUGUUUGGGACGCGAGUCCCAUUCACUAAUGAUCCUUCCGCAGGUUCACCUACGGAAA
rnacentral:misc_RNA from 1 species